UACGGGGGGGGCAAGCGUUGUUCGGAAUUACUGGGCGUAAAGGGCGCGUAGGCGGGUUCCCAAGUCUGUGGUGAAAUCCUCCAGCUUAACUGGAGAAGUGCCAUGGAUACUGGAGACCUCGAGGGGGGUAGGGGCAUCUGGAACAGCCGGUGGAGCGGUGAAAUGCGUUGAUAUCGGCUGGAACUCCGAUGGCGAAGGCAAGGUGCUGGACCCUAUCUGACGCUGAGGCGCGAAAGCCAGGGGAGCGAACGGG
rnacentral:rRNA from 1 species